UACGGAAGGCAGCAGUGGGGAAUAUUGCACAAUGGGCGAAAGCCUGAUGCAGCUAUGCCGCGUGUAUGAAGAAGGCCUUAGGGUUGUAAAGUACUUUCAUCGGGGAGGAAAAAACAAAACUAAUAAUUUUAUUUCUUGACGUUACCCGAAAAAGAAGCACCGGCUAACUCCGUGCCAGCAGCCGCGGUAAUACGGAGGGUGCUAGCGUUAAUCAGAAUUACUGGGCGUAAAGAGCACGUAGGUGGUUUUUUUAAGUCAGAUGUGAAAUCCCUGGGCUUUAACCUAGGAACUGCAUUUUGAAACUGAAAUACUAGAGUAUCGUAGAGGGAGGUAGAAUUCUAGGUGUAGCGGGUGAAAUGCGUAGAUAUCUGGAGGAAUACCUGUGGCGAAAGCGGCCUCCUAAACGAAUACUGACACUGAGGUGCGAAAGCGUGGGGAGCGAAACAGGGAUUAAGAUACCCGU
rnacentral:rRNA from 1 species